UACAGAGGGUGCAAGCGUUGUUCGGAUUUACUGGGCGUAAAGCGCGUGUAGGCGGAUGGGUAAGACAGAUGUGAAAUCCCCGGGCUCAACCUGGGAAUGGCAUUUGUGACUGUUCGGCUAGAGUGUGUCAGAGGGGGGUAGAAUUCCACGUGUAGCAGUGAAAUGCGUAGAGAUGUGGAGGAAUACCGAUGGCGAAGGCAGCCCCCUGGGAUAACACUGACGCUCAUGCACGAAAGCGUGGGGAGCAAACAGG
rnacentral:rRNA from 1 species